UCUUGUGGAUGAGCAAAGAAAGUGGUUUCUUGAAAUGGGAUUUACUACUGUUGAAGAUGCUGUGAA
rnacentral:pre_miRNA from 1 species